AGUUUGAUCCUGGCUCAGAACGAACGCUGGCGGCAGGCUUAACACAUGCAAGUCGAACGCUCCGCAAGGAGAGUGGCAGACGGGUGAGUAACGCGUGGGAAUCUACCCAACCCUGCGGAAUAGCUCUGGGAAACUGGAAUUAAUACCGCAUACGCCCUACGGGGGAAAGAUUUAUCGGGGAUGGAUGAGCCCGCGUUGGAUUAGCUAGUUGGUGGGGUAAAGGCCUACCAAGGCGACGAUCCAUAGCUGGUCUGAGAGGAUGAUCAGCCACAUUGGGACUGAGACACGGUCCAAACUCCUACGGGAGGCAGCAGUGGGGAAUAUUGGACAAUGGGCGCAAGCCUGAUCCAGCCAUGCCGCGUGAGUGAUGAAGGCCUUAGGGUUGUAAAGCUCUUUCACCGGAGAAGAUAAUGACGGUAUCCGGAGAAGAAGCCCCGGCUAACUUCGUGCCAGCAGCCGCGGUAA
rnacentral:rRNA from 1 species